rnacentral:rRNA from 1 species
GGCUGGGGGGGGGGGCCUACACAUGCAAGUCGAACGGUAACAGGAAGCAGCUUGCUGCUUCGCUGACGAGUGGCGGACGGGUGAGUAAUGUCUGGGAAACUGCCUGAUGGAGGGGGAUAACUACUGGAAACGGUAGCUAAUACCGCAUAACGUCGCAAGACCAAAGAGGGGGACCUUCGGGCCUCUUGCCAUCAGAUGUGCCCAGAUGGGAUUAGCUAGUAGGUGGGGUAACGGCUCACCUAGGCGACGAUCCCUAGCUGGUCUGAGAGGAUGACCAGCCACACUGGAACUGAGACACGGUCCAGACUCCUACGGGAGGCAGCAGUGGGGAAUAUUGCACAAUGGGCGCAAGCCUGAUGCAGCCAUGCCGCGUGUAUGAAGAAGGCCUUCGGGUUGUAAAGUACUUUCAGCGGGGAGGAAGGCGAUGCGGUUAAUAACCGCGUCGAUUGACGUUACCCGCAGAAGAAGCACCGGCUAACUCCGUGCCAGCAGCCGCGGUAAUACGGAGGGUGCAAGCGUUAAUCGGAAUUACUGGGCGUAAAGCGCACGCAGGCGGUCUGUCAAGUCGGAUGUGAAAUCCCCGGGCUCAACCUGGGAACUGCAUCCGAAACUGGCAGGCUUGAGUCUCGUAGAGGGGGGUAGAAUUCCAGGUGUAGCGGUGAAAUGCGUAGAGAUCUGGAGGAAUACCGGUGGCGAAGGCUGCCCCCUGGACUAAAACUGACGCUCAGGUGCGAAAAGCGUGGGGAGCAAAUAGGAUUAGAUACCCUGGAGUCCACACCUAAACGAUGUCCACUUGUAGGU